UUUCCAAGAUGAAUUUAUCAAUAUAAAAAGUUAUGUGCUUUAGACGAGUGUUUAGUGUAAAUGAGAAGAUUGAAAAUAAACAUCUAUAAAGAAAACUUGCUCAUUAUAUUCACAAGUCUACCCAUCGACAAAACUUAUUUUUUGGGUCUUAUUGAAAGGAAACCUGAAACUGAUUCCUCUCAAUACACCAGUAGUAUAAUGAACAGUACUGUACGCAGAGCCGGCAUUGUUAGACUGAUCCAUUCAGUGUCAUAUAACCCAAAUCUAUUGCUUUGAUAAAUUGAUAUCUUUAUCAGAAAUUUAUUAUGUAAAAUGUAAGGUCAAUUUAUAUAUUCUGACAAAUGAUACCCAUUAUUAUUAUCUAUAAAUGGCGAUAAAUGAGAAUGUUAUAGAAUAAAAUAUAUUUUGAA